rnacentral:rRNA from 1 species
CAGCAGCCGCGGGAACACGGAGGGCGCGAGCGUUACCCGGAUUUACUGGGCGUAAAGGGCGUGUAGGCGGCCUGGGGCGUCCCAUGUGAAAGGCCACGGCUCAACCGUGGAGGAGCGUGGGAUACGCUCAGGCUAGAGGGUGGGAGAGGGUGGUGGAAUUCCCGGAGUAGCGGUGAAAUGCGCAGAUACCGGGAGGAACGCCGAUGGCGAAGGCAGCCACCUGGUCCACUUCUGACGCUGAGGCGCGAAAGCGUGGGGAGCAAACCGGAUUAGAUACCCCGGUAGUCCCUGUCUCUUAUAC